AACGAACGCUGGCGGCAUGCCUAACACAUGCAAGUCGAACGGGAUCCUAGCUUGCUAGGUGAGAGUGGCGGACGGGUGAGUACACGUGGGAAUCUGCCUUUUGGUUCGGGAUAACCGCGGGAAACUGCGGCUAAUACCGAAUGCCCUCGAGAGAGGAAAGAUUUAUCGCCAGAAAGAGGAGCCCGCGUCCGAUUAGGUAGUUGGUGGGGUAAAAGGCCUACCAAGCCGACGAUCGGUAGCUGGUCUGAGAGGAUGAUCAGCCACACUGGGACUGAGAUACGGCCCAGACUCCUACGGGAGGCAGCAGUGGGGAAU
rnacentral:rRNA from 1 species